rnacentral:rRNA from 1 species
UACGUAGGGUGCAAGCGUUAAUCGGAAUACUGGGCGUAAAGCGUGCGCAGGCGGUGAUGUAAGACAGAUGUGAAAUCCCCGGGCUCAACCUGGGAACUGCAUUUGUGACUGCACAGCUUGAGUGCGGCAGAGGGGGAUGGAAUUCCCAGUGUAGCGGUGAAAUGCGUAGAGAUGUGGAGGAACACCGAUGGCGAAGGCAGCCUUCUGGGCCAACACUGACGCUCAUGCACGAAAGCGUGGGGAGCAA